rnacentral:rRNA from 1 species
GAACAAGGUUUCCUUCGCAAUGGAGAUCAUCGAAGGGUUAGUCGGUCCUAAGCCAAUGGCGAAUGCCGCAGGCGAUGGAUACACGGUUAAUAUUCCGUGACUUGUGUGUAGAGUGAUGGAGGGACGGAGUGUAGUAACACAGGCCCGUUAUUGGAUUCGGGUCCAUGUUGUGAGUGUGUCGUAUAGGUAAAUCCGUACGAUAAAUGCAAGCAAUGUGGAAAACUGGAGAUUCGUCGAAAGGAAUCUGUGCGAGCACGCUUCCAAGAAAAACUUCUAAACUUAUCUGCAUACAAUCCGUACCGCAAACCGACACAGGUGUUCAGGGCGAGUAGCCCAAGGCGAACGGGUGAGAGAUCCUCAAGGAACUCGGCAAAAAAGCGGGCGUACGUUCGCAAUAAGCCCUGCCAUUCGUAAGAAUGGCUGCAAAUAAUUAUUCCCAGGCGACUGUUUACCAAAAACACAGCUCCCUGCGAACUCGUAAGAGGAUGUAUAGGGGGUGAUGCCUGACCAAUGCCGGAAGGUCAAAUGUGGAGGGUGUGUGCUCGCAAGAGCAUAUGCUGGACUACAUAAGCCCCGGUCAAUGUCGGCGAUAACUAUAA